UUUAAAAAAUAUUUUGUCACAAAGAUUUUGGUCACUGGUGUUAUCAAGACUCUUCUAUUAUAUUUUAUCAUAGAUAUUUUUAGCUCUGUUAAACUGCUUCCCUGGGUCACAGGUCAUCAAAGAAGAAGCAUCUUGAGAAGACAGCAACACUAUGGGAGGAAAGUAGUUACAAAGCAAAAGUGGAGGUGCUAUUAAAGAAUAAAACAGUUGGAAAUAGAACUGAAGAAGACCACUCAACUUUAUGCCAAAAUUAGGCAGAGAUACCGCCGUGCAGUUACAAAUACUAAAAAGGAAAAAAACACAAACAGUCCACAGAAGAACGCAGAAGCACCACUAAAGGGGUCAUCUGUACAUUCCCCUGUGAAGAGGACCUGAACUCUCCAUUUUGCUCUUGUGAGAAGUCUGCAGGAAAAGUAUCGCAAUGCAAAACAAGAAAAAGAAAAGCAACUUUAUGCUUCGUUAAGAAGGGUCUUCUUGGACCGUGUUCUCCCUCAGAAACCAGAGAAUGAAGCGAUAAACCAGCUCGGCAGAUCCCACUAAGACCCAAGGUAGAGCGCCCGGUGCAAAUGGGGAACAAACACUCUCGUAUUGAGACAGAGUUUAUUCAGCAAAAGCACACAAGAGAAGGGGAAGUCCCCUCUUUUAUACACACACACAGCCCUUCCCUCGUGCACGCAGGCAGUCAAGGCGGGGCUCAAACACAUUCUAACAUAUGUCGUAACCUGCAUGUCCAUACAUGGAGUUGUUUUUCUCUCCAUCUCAGGAUGUGCUCCUUAGUCAGUUCAACAUCAAAAUCCAGUAAGUCAAAAGGGCAAAUGAGUUGCACAAUAAAAGAGGAACAAUAGUUAUUAACCUGUAAGUAUGCACAAAGGGCAGACACCCGUGCACCCUCAGCAAAGUUUGAGUUUAUUAAUACAUGUUAGUCACUGGGGAAGAGACAAGCCAAAGGAAAGUUAAACUUUCAGCUCGAUUGUUUUCAACUUUGUUGAAAAAGUAUCGCUUGCAAUCUCUGUGUGAGAAAAAUCUAGGGUUCUCCUACAGACAAUGGAAAUUUGGAAAUGUGGAAAGUGCAGAAUUUCCCAGGACUAGAAAUACAGCUUCUCAGGCUAAGAAAAGAUCAGUGAAGAUGUUUUUUCUACAUGAUGAUGUGAGCAGGAUGACCACUGGAACAAAGAACACAAUUACUCUAAGGAAGGUUAAAAAGCAGCGACGACUUCUUUGUGACACCCUUCUAAAUCUGCAUAGGAGAUUUUUGGCAGAAAGUCCUGAUGCAGUGUCCUAUCCCUUCUUUUGCAGACAAAGACCUUUUUGGGUCAUGCAUCCAACUGAAGCUGACAGGAACAUCUGUCAGUGUAAAACUCACAAAAACUGAUAGUGUCCAUCAAAUGAAAGCAUUUCGGUAACACAGUGGGUCCUUGAGAAGAUUGGAGAUGCUGGCCAUGACAAAAUGACCGUUUCUGUUAAAAAGGAGAUGGUCACCACAGAAGAUGCUCUGGUGACACAGUUCCAGGAGAGGCUUGCUCAUUACAGACGACACCUCUUCAACAUCAGAUGGCAAUAUGGAACAUAUCGGCAGGUGAGAGAGAAUUUGCAAGAAACUGACGCUUUAAUCCAUGUCGACUUUAGCGAGAAUUACAACUGCAAAUACUCACAAGAGAUUCAGUCUGUGCACUUUGGUGGAUCCCACCAGCAGGCUACACUGCACACUGGAGUUCUCUACAUCAAAGCGGAACAGCCCAUCAUCCCUUUCUGCUCCAUCUCGCCAAGCCGCCAACAUGAUCCUCCAGCCAUCUGGGCUCAUCUUUCACCUAUUCUUAGCCAGCUGAGGGAACGUUGUCCGGGUGUCACCAGACUACAUUUUUUCAGCGACAGACCAGCAACGCAGUAUAAGCAGAAGGCUAACAUUUACAUGCUGUCCACUGAGCCAUUUAAGAUGGACUUUAAGGAGACAAGCUGGCAUUUCGUUGAGGCCAGCCAUGGUAAAGGUGCACCAGAUGGCAUUGGUGGCUCCUUGAAAAGAACUGCAGACAGUCUAGUGCACCAUGGAACAGACAUUCCAGAUGCUGAAUCCCUGUUCCUUCAGCUCAAACAGAAGACGUCUUCAGUGGAGCUGUUCUUUGUGUCACCAGAAGACGUGGAAAAAAAUGGGACAACGCAUUGUGAACGGACCUCCACAUGUAACUAUUAAAGGCACGAUGAGGAUGCACCAGGUGAUCAGUGUGGUCCAAGAAAGCAUCAAAUACAGGGACAUCAGCUGCGUAUGCAAAAUGAUGGAUGGAGUCCUUGACUGCCCAUGCUAUGGCCUUCAAGAGUUCACAUUUGCCAGAAGUGAAAGUCAACAAGAAGACUAUACCAUUGAAAGGUCUGCCCCUGCUUUACUCCGUCCAGAAGUAAUCUCAAAAGUGCACAUUGGCCAGUGGUGUAUAGUAAACUAUGAUGCAGAUCCUUAUCCUGGCAUCAUUCUUGAAGUGGAGGCACACAACAUAAAAGUAAAAUGUAUGCACAGAAACGGAGUUAAUAAAUUCUUCUGGCCCAGCCCAAGGGAAGAUGUCCGCUGGUAUGGGGACGAUCAAAUUGUGUGUUUUAUUCCUGAGCCAGUCGCUCUGAACAAAAGGUCAGUUCAGAUUGACAAAAAAAUCUGGCACUAUUUAGAGAAAACCUCCUUCACUCAUCUGCCCUGAUGUUCGCUGAAGAGAGCAAAUAUAUGGGGAAUGUUUGCAGAUUUAAUGAUCUAUUCAUUUGUUGUGAGAAAAUGUGCUGACUUUCAAUGUAUUUGAUGAAUUUGAAUGCAAAAUGUUCUGCUAAAAUAUGAUAAAAUGAAUAAUAUACAAGAUAAAAAUUUUACUUUACAGAAAUGAAAGGUUACCGUGAUGUUUUUUGCUCAUUUUGUAGUGCAUUGAUGUUUAUUAAGUGAAAUUGCUUGUUCAGUCACUGGUGUUACAGAUGUGUUACCAUGUGAUGCUUGUUCUUUUUCAUGAUUUUUUUUAAAAUUAAAAGUAUCCUGCAUGAAAUGUUAGAAUCAUUAAUUUCUGCACUGUUUCUUAUAUCAGUAGUUAAAUUUUCAUGUUUAUCGGACAAAAAUGUAUUAUUGUGUUUUUUAAAAAAUAGUAUAGGAAGAUGCCUUUAAGUAUAAAGAAAGACCACUUUAUUUUUGUUGUUUUCAGUGCUUGUGUAUAAACAUACUUUGGUAACAUGUUCAGUUAAAUGGAAUUUCUUUAUUGCAUUCAGUCACAUUGUAAUUUCAAUUAAAAAUAAAUAAAUUGAUGACAAAAUAAAUUCUUCAAGAUGGGGUAACACCAGUGACAAAUUGACCAAAACUUUGCAUUUUAUGUCAAAAUAUAUUAAAAUCUAUUUGGAAUUUGAAAUCUA